rnacentral:tRNA from 1 species
GGUGAGGUGGCCGAGAGGCUGAAGGCGCUCCCUCGCUAAGGGAGUAUGCGGUCAAAAGCUGCAUCCGGGGUUCGAAUCCCCGCCUCACCGCCA